rnacentral:rRNA from 1 species
UACGGAGGAUGCGAGCGUUAUCCGGAUUUAUUGGGUUUAAAGGGUGCGUAGGCGGGAUGUCAAGUCGGCGGUAAAAAUUCGGGGCCCAACCCCGUCGUGCCGUCGAAACUGGCGUCCUAGAGUGGGCGAGAAGUACGCGGAAUGCGUGGUGUAGCGGUGAAAUGCAUAGAUAUCACGCAGAACUCCGAUUGCGAAGGCAGCGUACCGGCGCCCAACUGACGCUGAAGCACGAAAGCGUGGGUAUCGAACAGG